CAGAAAAGUAUGUGAUAGUUUUGUGAUAAUACCUCAAAAGAGUCCAUGGUAGUCACUGAGGACGACAUAACUCAUAUGUUUUAGUGAUUUUAUUUUAUCUGAAGAUUCAUGGUAAUUUGGUAAAACGUAAAUAAAAGUUCAUGGUAUUUAAUUCAUUGGUUGUCUUUAGAUAGCAUAUGGUAACAUUUUUCUGGUAUGAAAGUUUUUGUAUUUUUCUUGAAUAAAAUAGUUUACGAUAUUUUUGGGGGAGACCCCUUCUAAUUCUUGUUAGUUAUGUGAAAUUUACCUCAAAGUUGACAUGUAAAUAAAUCACUGGGCCUUAUUUAGUCUCUAGAUGCUAUUUACACAAUGACGUGGAAUUCUGAAAACACAAACACUAAUUUGAUGUUUUUGUCCUAUUUAUCACAGUAUGGCAUUGUGUUUGUAGAAGUUAAAUCCUGGAAAAAUAUGACGGGAAACUCAGUACUUCUUAUUUUCGCUGAGGUUUUCUUGAUUGUGGAUAGACCCCUGUAGUUCUAUUGUUAAAAAUAGAUCAUUUGAGUGAACUAUUUUCUUCGACCAAUAUUUAGCUUAAAUCAAUCCAGAAUUGGCCUAGCCAUCAUCUGUUCAUAUAACUAAACCUAUUUAGUAACUAAACUGGUUUAUCGCCGCUUUGUCCGAAUAAUGUUUAAGUCACUUAAAAAAGACCCCCUUCGCUCAUUUCAUCACGCUUCUGGUACAGAAAUGAUGAAAGCCAAGAUUGAGAUUGAUACUGACAGGUUCCUAGUGAGUAUUUGACAUUGAGGAACAAGUUUUUGGAAACAAAUAGAGAAUAUAGUCUUUGACCGAGAAGUUUCAUGUUUUGUAAUCAAAUGUUGAUGUACAUUGUUUGAAUGUUAGUUCGGUACGAUAUUUUCUGAGUUGAAAUGUUGGUAGUAUGGAUUUAAUACUUUGUAGUUUUUAUAUUA